AUGGAGGGAGCGGGGACAGGGGACAACUUUGUGAGGAACAUCAAGUCUAGGCUGGAAACCCAUGUGAGGGCCACAACGGAGGCAGCCGGCCUCUUCACCGACGACCUCAUCCUGGAAAUUCUCUCCCGCCUCCCUGUCAAAUCUGUCCAUCGCUUUAAGUGCGUCUCGGUGGCCUGGCGCGACCUCAUUGCUGACCCUGCCAACCGCAAGAUGCUGCCCCAGACCCUCGCAGGCUUCCUCUACACGUCCUACAGCAGCGGGCACCGCCACUACUUCGCCAGCGUCUCGGGCAGCCUAGCCCCGUUCGACCCUUCCCUCCCUUACCUGCAGCCUACCAAGUACAAGGACAUGUCCCUGGUGGGCGCCUGCAAUGGCAUGCUCCUCUACCGCGGCAGCAACAAGAACAAGGUGGCCCCUUGGUCUUGGGCAGAGGAUGAUUGCCGUUUUGUGGUGUGCAAUCCCGCCACUGCAAGGUGGGUCGAGCUGCCCCCUAAGCCUCCUGCGCCAAAAAUCAGAUAUAGCCUUACUGCAGCUCUGGCUUUUGAUCCGGCAAUCUCGUCGCAUUUCCAUGUUCUUCAUUUUGAGGAGGACUAUCUGGCAAAUUAUAUGACAGGAGUGAGCAUCUACUCAUCGCGGAAAGGAGCCUGGAGUCGCGGGGAUAGUGGGAUGUUUGAGAAAGUGCCGCCGUUCUUCAUUAGUAAAUGUGUCUUUGUCGGCGGUAUCAUGUAUGUGAUUGGCGAGCUGCAACACAUCAACACCAGCAACGAGUAUGUGCUGGUGGGGGUGGACAUGGAGGGGAAAGAGUGGAAGACUAUCCAUGUGCCGUACUGUUCGAGAUUUUGUACGAUUGGAUUGUCCCAGGGAUGCUUACACUAUGCUGUAGCUAACAAUGAAAUCCUAGUUCCUGAGAUGACACUCUGCUGCCUCAAGGAUUGUGAUAGCAAAAAAUUCGUCCUGAAGCAUACCGCCAACAUGGAUAAGCUUCCGAGCAUGACUAGGAUGAAGUAUAAGGUGGUUGACAUUCAUCCAGAUUCCGACACCAUUUUCUUGGUUUCAUUUGGAGGUGCUACCUUGGCAGCGUAUGAUAUGCGACAUCAGAAAGUUGGUUGUAUCAUUAAUCUUGAGAACAGCACACAACGAUUUCUACCCUAUGUUCCUCUAUUCUCAGAGCCAUUAGCGGAUGCAGAUGGGCAGUAG
rnacentral:rRNA from 1 species